CAUAGGUGAAAUUCAAAAUGGGCUCUUGAUGUGGAGUGUCAAGCUGGUCUCGGAUAUAGGACCCCCUUCAACUGGUGGUUGACUGACUAUUACUUUUCAGAAGAAGGUAGAAGGUCUUGAGUACUGAUAUUGCCCUCUGAAGAGACUGCACCCUUAAUACUUCAAGGAACAUUUCAAGAAAGUAUCUACAUAUUUUUACCAAUAUCCUGUAUUAUAAAACUUUGAUUUUUGUCCACUGAGAGGGAAUGGUGUAAUGCUUCUUGAAUAGGACCUGGUUUAUGCCACUGUGAGUCAUUCAUGUUACUGGAAAAACUGACUGACCGCCGGACAUUACUGGCACAUUUCCCAUAAUUCUCCAUGGAACUGAGGGCA